GACUCCGUAGCUCAGUUGGUAGAGCAGCUGACUCUUAAUCAGCGGGUCCACGGUUCGAGUCCGUGCGGGGUCA
rnacentral:tRNA from 1 species